rnacentral:lncRNA from 1 species
AUACUGUCAGGUUUGAGGUAACGGUAGGUUAUACUUUGUGUAUAAUGUAUUAAGGGGAGAUAAUCAAUCCAAAUGACUUCAUAGGGGGUGAACAAUAAAGAUUUGUUUUAUACUGUCAGGUUUGAGGUAAUGGUAGGUUAUACUUUGUGUAUAAUGUAUUAAGGGGAGAUAAUCAAUCCAAAUGACUUCAUAGGGGUGAACAAUAAAGAAUUGUUUUAUACUGUCAGGUUUGAGGUAACGGUAGGUUAUACUUUGUGUAUAAUGUAUUAAGGGGAGAUAAUCAAUCCAAAUGACUUCAUAGGGGGUGAACAAUAAAGAUUUGUUUUAUACUGUCAGGUUUGAGGUAAUGGUAGGUUAUACUUUGUGUAUAAUGUUUUAAGGGGAGAUAAUCAAUCCAAAUGACUUCAUAGGGGGUGAACAAAAAAG